AUGCAGCCGCGCCGACUCCCCAGAGUCAUUUGCGCAGCAAUAAAAACAAGGUUGGCGCUGUCGCGUCCUGCACGGAUCGCACGCCCGGCUGCGAAUCCUCGAAGUCGGGUUUGGACGCGAGCGGGGUCGUCCUCACGCGCCCGUCGGCUCCCCCUGGUGGCCCGGGACGCAGGUUCUCCGGGCCGCGCAGGACCUGGGGAAAACGAAGCCCCAAGAGAGAAGCGACGCUCACCUGGUCUAAGCGCUCUUUGUGUGCUCGGUGAAGCUCCUUGCACCCACCCUCCUCAGGAGCAUGUAAGUGCCCACGCGCACACGCUAGUUGCACAAGUAAUUGCACACUUGUUAACUCGCGCGUACAACCGCCGGGGCUCGGGGAUCAGAAUCAAAGGUUCCGAAGCCGAUUGCUCUCCGCUAUCCUCCUGCCAGCGACUCCGGCCCGCGCGCAUCCUUUCUCCAUGGAGUCCGCCUCCCGGGUCGCGCCGACACCUACUUACCAACGUUCUCCGGACCCACUUGCUCUUCGCCUUCCGCGGGCCACCGGGGGAGCCCGGUGCUCCAGGCUCGUGUUUCCCUGCGCGCUGUCUUGUGACCCCAGCGGGGAAUCUUCCGAGGCUUGGGCCGCCUUGGGCUGGUACUGAGGCAUGAGUCCCGGGCGACCUGGCUCUCAGGGGAAGACGCACCAGGGUACGAGAACCCGGGAUGGGACAGGGAGAGGGGCAUCUCUCCCUCCUCACCUGCAUCUCAGGACUCCAGGCCCAGAAGGCUGAAUGGGGGCAGGGGACAGUGGAGAAGGAGUGCCACCCCCUCGCGCCUCUGUGGCGCCCGGGGCACUUUGCUCUCCGCUGGCACGACGGCUACCUGCCGCUUCAGGAAUAGGAAGAGAGCAGGGAAAAGAUGGACGACGCCUACCGUCUGCGCUUUGGGCCCAGAUCAGAUUUUUUUCCCCACCUCAUUCUCUUUAUAACAAUGAUGCCUAAAGCCUGCAUCGUGGGCGCUAAACAGGCACACAAGAAUAUAUAUUGAAUUAAAUUUACAAAGAGCUGUCACGGUCACGGUCAGUCCUGAGCCUCCACAUUUUGUAGAUUAAUUCAUUAAGUCAUGCAUUCAUUC
rnacentral:lncRNA from 1 species